GGGGGAGGUUCAAUCAAUAGGGAUUUUGUUAAGUGGGCCAGGGCAGAAGAGAUCUUUCAAACAUCGGCGACUGGUGUGACUCCGUGCUCCAAGACUCAUGGGAGUAGAUAUAUCUUCACUGAUUUCCAGAAGACCAUCAUUUGACAAAGCUUUGCUUUUUUGUUGCUGGUUAGAGGUCCAAAAUCACAGGCAGACAAUGGAGCAAAAUGUCAAAUGAGGCAAAGUUGAUCAGGAGAUAGAGGAUGUAUCAGCUUGUCUCUUCAUGGACCAUUUCACGUAG